UGGCUCAGUUGGUAGAGCAUGGCAUUUGCAAUGCCAGGGUUGUGGGUUUGAUUCCUAC
rnacentral:tRNA from 1 species